GCCCUCGUGGCCCAACUGGCAGAGGCACCGGAUUCAGGAUCCGGAGGUUCCAGGUUCGACUCCUGGCGAGGGCA
rnacentral:tRNA from 1 species